UGAAUACUCCUUCUGAUCCAUAUCAAUUGUCUAAAUAUUUCAUGUAUCUAGACAUUUUUUAGACAUAAAUACAUCCACAUUUGGGAAAAAUUGAGACAAUUGAUAUGGAUCGGAGGGAGUACAUG
rnacentral:pre_miRNA from 1 species